GAGAGAGAGAGAGAAGGCGCAACUGGACAUUUGACCAAAGACAAAGUUGUGUGAAGAACAUAUAAAAAAAAGUGGGAGUAGACACGUGAAAGUUGUUCGUAGGUGGCUCAUUGUUAGAAUAAAACAGUAAGUCUUGAACAAAAACUUAGACAAGGUUUGAAUCCCGCGAUUAAUAUCGGAACUCUUGAAUCAAGACACAAAUAGACUUCAUAAUUUUAAAGAUGUACUUGAAGAUUUCACCCCUUCACUUGGUCUCACAGCUCAUUCUUCUGACCUUUAUCUUAUGUUGCAUUCAGUCCGCCUUGGUAUUCGCUCGGAACUCUUUUGUAGGAGAGGUGCCGGAAGGUGUGUCGAUAGAAGACUUUCUGGGCACGUGCACGAAGUGUGGAGAGAUGUUUGGCACUGCCGUCUCCAGCAACUGCGUCUAUGAUAAAACGUUCGUCACAUAUAACCAGUGUUUCCUGGAGGUGCACCACUGACAGAGUCGCCCCCUGCCUGCCCUGUGUCAUGGAGUGCGGAGACAAGUGAUUUUAUUAAAUAUUGAAUCUGAUCAAAUUAGUUUCAUGUUUUAAAAUUGGUCCAAAGCUUUAUGAAUGUUUUGCUUAAAUUGCUUAGAUAAUUUCAAAUAUUUUAUAUUACUUAACUGUGACAAAACAAUAGGAAGUACAAUAAUUGGUUAUUCAAAUAUUUGUUAAGUUUUUGUUGAAAACAAUAUCCCAUUAAAGAUUCAUUCUAUUGCAAUGGUAUAUAUAUAUAUAUAUAUAUAUAUAUAUAUACAUAUAUAUAUAUAUAUAUAUAUAUAUAUAUAUAUAUAUAUAUACACACACAAAAGGAGAGACAAUUCAGAUGAAAACUAGGGGAGGAGAUUUGUUUGUUCAAUGAAAGUUGUGUUGAAUAUGAAUAAAAAAAAAAAUUAAAGCUUGUCUUUGCAAAGUA